rnacentral:rRNA from 1 species
UGCAUCAUGAUUUACAUUUGAGUGAGUGGCGAAAGGUGAGUAACACGUGGGAAACCUGCCCAGAAGCGGGGGAUAACACCUGGAAACAGAUGCUAAUACCGCAUAACAACUUGGACCGCAUGGUCCGAGUUUGAAAGAUGGCUUCGGCUAUCACUUUUGGAUGGUCCCGCGGCGUAUUAGCUAGAUGGUGAGGUAACGGCUCACCAUGGCAAUGAUACGUAGCCGACCUGAGAGGGUAAUCGGCCACAUUGGGACUGAGACACGGCCCAAACUCCUACGGGAGGCAGCAGUAGGGAAUCUUCCACAAUGGACGAAAGUCUGAUGGAGCAACGCCGCGUGAGUGAAGAAGGGUUUCGGCUCGUAAAACUCUGUUGUUAAAGAAGAACAUAUCUGAGAGUAACUGUUCAGGUAUUGACGGUAUUUAACCAGAAAGCCACGGCUAACUACGUGCCAGCAGCCGCGGUAAUACGUAGGUGGCAAGCGUUGUCCGGAUUUAUUGGGCGUAAAGCGAGCGCAGGCGGUUUUUUAAGUCUGAUGUGAAAGCCUUCGGCUCAACCGAAGAAGUGCAUCGGAAACUGGGAAACUUGAGUGCAGAAGAGGACAGUGGAACUCCAUGUGUAGCGGUGAAAUGCGUAGAUAUAUGGAAGAACACCAGUGGCGAAGGCGGCUGUCUGGUCUGUAACUGACGCUGAGGCUCGAAAGUAUGGGUAGCAAACAGGAUUAGAUACCCUGGUAGUCCAUACCGUAAACGAUGAAUGCUAAGUGAUGGAGGGUUCCGCCCUUCAGUGCUGCAGCUAACGCAUUAAGCAUUCCGCCUGGGGAGUACGGCCGCAGGCUGAAACUCAAGGUAUUGACGGGGGCCCGCACAAGCGGUGGAGCAUGUGGUUUAAUUCGAAGCUACGCGAAGAACCUUACCAGGUCUUGACAUACUAUGCAAAUCUAAGAGAUUAGACGUUCCCUUCGGGGACAUGGAUACAGGUGGUGCAUGGUUGUCGUCAGCUCGUGUCGUGAGAUGUUGGGUUAAGUCCCGCAACGAGCGCAACCCUUAUUAUCAGUUGCCAGCAUUAAGUUGGGCACUCUGGUGAGACUGCCGGUGACAAACCGGAGGAAGGUGGGGAUGACGUCAAAUCAUCAUGCCCCUUAUGACCUGGGCUACACACGUGCUACAAUGGAUGGUACAACGAGUUGCGAACUCGCGAGAGUAAGCUAAUCUCUUAAAGCCAUUCUCAGUUCGGAUUGUAGGCUGCAACUCGCCUACAUGAAGUCGGAAUCGCUAGUAAUCGCGGAUCAGCAUGCCGCGGUGAAUACGUUCCCGGGCCUUGUACACACCGCCCGUCACACCAUGAGAGUUUGUAACACCCAAAGU